UACGGGGGGGGCAAGCGUUGUUCGGAAUUACUGGGCGUAAAGGGCUCGUAGGUGGCCAACUAAGUCAGACGUGAAAUCCCUCGGCUUAACCGGGGAACUGCGUCUGAUACUGGAUGGCUUGAGUUUGGGAGAGGGACGGCGGAAUUCCUGGUGUAGCAGUGAAAUGCGUAGAAUAUCAGGAGGAAUACCGAUGGCGGAAAGGCGGUCUCUGGGCUGACACUGACGCUCAUGCACGAAAGCGUGGGGAGCAAAC
rnacentral:rRNA from 1 species